rnacentral:rRNA from 1 species
CAGUAGCCGCGGUAAUACAGAGGUCUCAAGCGUUGUUCGGAUUCAUUGGGCGUAAAGGGUGCGUAGGUGGCUUGGUAAGUUGAAGGUGAAAUCUCGGGGCUUAACUCCGAAACUGCCUUCAAUACUGCUGAGCUCGAGGAUUGUAGAGGAGAAUGGAAUUCACGGUGUAGCAGUGAAAUGCGUAGAUAUCGUGAGGAAGACCAGUGGCGAAGGCGAUUCUCUGGGCAAUUCCUGACACUGAGGCACGAAGGCCAGGGGAGCAAACGGGAUUAGAUACCCCCGUAGUCCCUGUCUCUUAUAC